UACAGGGGGGGGCAAGCGUUGUUCGGAAUUACUGGGCGUAAAGGGCUCGUAGGCGGCCAACUAAGUCCGACGUGAAAUCCCCAGGCUUAACCUGGGAACUGCGUCGGAUACUGGAUGGCUUGAAUUCGGGAGAGGGAUGCAGAAUUCCAGGUGUAGCGGUGAAAUGCGUAGAUAUCUGGAGGAAUACCGGUGGCGAAGGCGGCAUCCUGGGCCGACAUUGACGCUGAUGAGCGAAAAGCUAGGGGAGCAAACGGGG
rnacentral:rRNA from 1 species